rnacentral:tRNA from 1 species
GCUCAGUUGGCACAGCAUGAGACUCUUAAUCUCAGGGCCGUGGGUCCAGGCCCCACACUGAGUG